CACGUAGGGUGCGAGCGUUGUCCGGAAUUAUUGGGCGUAAAGAGCUCGUAGGCGGUGUGUCGCGUCGGCCGUGAAAACCUGCAGCUUAACUGUGGGCGUGCGGUCGAUACGGGCAUCACUGGAGUUCGGCAGGGGAGACUGGAAUUCCUGGUGUGGCGGUGAAAUGCGCAGAUAUCAGGAGGAACACCGGUGGCGAAGGCGGGUCUCUGGGCCGAUACUGACGCUGAGGAGCGAAAGCGUGGGGAGCAAACAGG
rnacentral:rRNA from 1 species